ACGAUUGAUAAUGACCACUGGUGACACAUGAGUCACGUGGAUGACUACAUGUUUGGAACUUUGAGAUCAAC